GUCCACGCUGUAAACGAUGAUCACUAGACGUUGGUUCUGUUCUACAGAAUCAGUGUCGCAGCUAACGCGGUAAGUGAUCCGCCUGGAGACUACGGUCGCAAGAUUAAAACUCAAAGGAAUUGACGGGGGCCCGCACAAGCGGUGGAACAUGUGGUUUAAUUCGACACUACGCGAGGAACCUUACCUAGGUUUGACAUGUUUUUGACAGUCGUAGAAAUACGAUCUUUCCGGCUUCGGUCGGGACAAUUACACAGGUGCUGCAUGGCUGUCGU
rnacentral:rRNA from 1 species